GACGAACGCUGGCGGCGUGCUUAACACAUGCAAGUCGAACGGAAAGGCCCUGCUUUUGUGGGGUGCUCGAGUGGCGAACGGGUUAGUAACACGUGAGUAACCUGCCCUUGACUUUGGGAUAACUUCAGGAAACUGGGGCUAAUACCGGAUAGGAGUUCCUGCUGCAUGGUGGGGGUUGGAAAGUUUCGGCGGUUGGGGAUGGACUCGCGGCUUAUCAGCUUGUUGGUGGGGUAGUGGCUUACCAAGGCUUUGACGGGUAGCCGGCCUGAGAGGGUGACCGGCCACAUUGGGACUGAGAUACGGCCCAGACUCCUACGGGAGGCAGCAGUGGGGAAUAUUGCACAAUGGGCGGAAGCCUGAUGCAGCAACGCCGCGUGCGGGAUGACGGCCUUCGGGUUGUAAACCGCUUUCGCCUGUGACGAAGCGUGAGUGACGGUAAUGGGUAAAGAAGCACCGGCUAACUACGUG
rnacentral:rRNA from 1 species